AUACGGAGGAUGCAAGCGUUAUCCGGAUUCAUUGGGUUUAAAGGGUGCGCAGGCGGAGAGAUAAGUCAGUGGUGAAAAACUGCCGCUCAACGGUAGUCUUGCCAUUGAUACUGUCUUUCUUGAGUAUGGAUGAGGUAGGCGGAAUGUGCAGUGUAGCGGUGAAAUGCAUAGAUAUUGCACGGAACACCAAUUGCGAAGGCAGCUUACUGGACCAUUACUGACGCUCAGGCACGAAAGCGUGGGGAUCAAACAGGAUUAGAUACCCUGGUAGUCCACGCAGUAAACGAUGUUCACUCGCUGUUUGCGAUAUACUGUAAGCGGCUUAGUUAAAGCAUUAAGUGAACCACCUGGGGAGUACGAUCGCAAGGUUGAA
rnacentral:rRNA from 1 species